AGACCUGCCAACCCCAGGCCACCAAAAUGGAGCACAUGAACUUAACCACUACGCCAUUGGGUGGGCCCCCUGACAUUCUAAAUAAUAAUGAAAAGGAGAUGGGAAGUGUGAGGCGAGUUCGGGGAAAAAGCACUUGAAACUCAUCCAACGGAUAUGUGUCAUUGUCGACUGAGCUUAAAAGACAGAAAUCCCGACCCAAGCUUCCUUGAAUUUCGCAGAAAUUGAAGCGCCUUCCUUAUUUGCCUUGAGCAACCACUGUUUCCAGUGGCAUGAAGCUUUCUUAUGAGAAAGCCUUUCUUGGUCAUGAGAGACCAGGGCUGACUCCAGGGAAUAACUGUCUGUUUAAGCCAGGACGGGGGGAUGAUGAUGGCAAUGACAAUGGUGAUGACAGAUGGUGACAAUGGCAGUGGCAACUAACAUUUCGAGCCAUUAUUCUCAGCCAGAUGCUAUCCCAAUUUCUUUUUAGGACUGAAUAAUAUUUCAUCGUACGGACAUAUAUUCCAUUUUCCAUUCGCCUAUUGAAGGACAUCUUGAUUGCUUUCAGCUUGGGGCAAUUAUGAAUGAAACGACUAUAAACAUUCAUGUGCAGGUUUCGGUGUGGACAUGCGUUUUCAAGUCAGUGGGAUUUCCUGAGACCUGCACGGUCUCCAUGUGGCUUUGUCAUGCUGUCACCAUUUUCCAUGCCACUGAAAACAAACGGUGUGGCUGAGGAUGGAACCCCAUUUCACAUACGACAAAACUGAGAAUUCGAGUGGUCUGCCUGAGGCCCUGGAGCAGGAAAAAAGUGUAUCAAUUUAAGGGCAUAAAAGAAGAGGUGGGGCUCAAAUGGAACAAAUCUCUCGAAGGACUGGUGUUUGGGAAAUGAAGAAUGCGCUCCUCUGACCCUCCCAGCCACCCGGUAGGUGCCCAGCUGGGGUAUUGUCCCCCCUGCACAGAUGAGGAAUUUGAGGCCCUGAGGGGGGACGUGACCAUGACAGAGGAGCCCCUUGACUGUGUGGGAUUCUGCCACCCCAAGCCCUGGCAUCCCAGAGCCCAGGCCCCUCCACUCGGGCCGUGGAGCCCAUUCCUCUGCUGGCAGCCUGGGCCUCGGGACCCCGGAUGGCAAAGCCCUUGAGUGUCAGGAGCCUGAGCAGCAGUUCUGUCUCCAAAGCACUCACCACUGGCCCGCGUGCUCCCUACCUUAGCCCUGCGAGGCCCCUCUCACGGAGGAGGGAGCGCAGACCCACAGAGGGCGUGUGCAUCACACAGGUGUGGCCAUUGCCACUCUGCAAAUGGGGACGCAGACUCCAGCCAAGGGACAUGCCCAAGGUCACACAGCCGGUGGGUGGAGGGGCUGGGCCUGGAACCUGGGUUCUUUUCCUUUGUCCAUCUCGCAGCUCUAUUAAAGAUCUGAAUCCUGGAGGCCCGCUCCUCGGGGACCCACCCCAGGCCUCUCUCUGGACUCAUUUCUUUUUGCCAUGUUUGUUCCCAUGAUGCUUCUUGUUGGGGCUGUAGAAGCAUGGAGUGAGCCCCACACUGCAAGUCCGCCCCUUCUGUGAGCCUCGGUUCCAGCCCCUGGGAAAUGGCGCCGUUAACCCUGCCCGCAUCCUGCACCGGCUGCUGCGUGGGUCCCACGAGGUGGGAGACAAGAUCAAGAUCAGCACUUGGGUGAAGCGAGCGGGGCACACCCCUCAGGCCCCAAAUUGAAGGGGGUUCCCUAAAGCCGUAAUCAAGACAGACAGCCCAACG